UAACAUACACGAUUCCACAAGUAUAAGCAAAGGUGGUCUCUAAUCCUUAUCUAUUGGUAUUUGGUUUCACUUGAGCUUUCAUUUUACAUAUGGUUGUAUUAUGCCUUACAUAUUCAGUACAUUCUUUCGUACUGACGUCCCUUAUGGGGACAUUGCAUUUCAUGCUGCAGGUACAAGUACUCAACUAAUAGAUCUCCCCAAUAGAAGCACAUGAUACUCA
rnacentral:lncRNA from 1 species